rnacentral:misc_RNA from 1 species
GUGAAUCAUCGAAUUUUUGAACGCAUAUUGCACCAUCUGGUAUGCCGGAGAGUAUGCCUAUUUGAGGGUCAUUUGAAAUAAUAUAAAUGUCGAGAUUUGCUGGAAAUCAAAAAUGGGUCGGUCCAGCUUUCGUGUGUGGGUCGCCUAAAAUGCAAGACAAGCUCAUUUCUUGGGUUGCGUGAUACUGUCAGUUACCUCGUGACGUCACAGGAAAUCUUCGAGCGUGUUAAGAAUUGUGAAAGAGAUAAGCGUCAUUUAUCUCGAACUCAAUGUUAAAUUGAAUCAUGACCU